CUAUAGUAUAUAUGCAUUUAUAAAUAUAUGCAUAGAAAGGCAUGUGCAAAAUUUGUAUGUAGUGAUAAAAAACUUACACUGUCUUAUAACUAUUUCUAUAUUGCAAUUACAUAAUAGAUAAGUAGAGGCGUGUGGCUUCCAUAUUGUCGAGUGCGCUGUGCCUUAGCAUAAUUUUAAUGGUGCAUAGUGAACAAAUAAAACAGUGCAGUGCUGCUCGGUGCGGUGCAAUCGACAUAUAUACACACAUGUGUUGUUUUUUAGAUUCGUGUGUCCUUGAGUGUGAAACUGAAAUACCAAGGUACGGCUGUACUCAAGAAACUGUGCGUAGUAAUAAAAUGAGAUCAGUGCUUAUGCCAAGCUGUGUUACAAUUUGCAAAUACAGGCUAAAGUACAGCCGCUCAAUUCAAUCAGCUAUUGAUGCGUAUUUCUCGAAGCAGCAUUUUUGGAAUUUGCCGCAGGGAUGCCUAAAAACGCCUUACCUUUAGGGUCAUUGUACGGACAAUAUCUUCUAGUUUGAAGAAGCCUAACGUCCACGGAGGAGGUAUCGGAGAUCGCGUAUAAAUAUAAAUAUAUAUUCAUUCGAAGAGUGGUGGAAAUUCCUGCUGAUGAUGAGAUUACUUUGGUCAAUUUAAAGAGAGUUUUCAACAACUGAUCUCUUGAAAUAAAAAGAAGGCUCCUGACUAAAUUUAAUGGUAUUCAGAUGUAAUUGGUGAUCUUUUUUUGUAGCAGACUUAAAGACUUAAAUAAAAUUUUUUUAAA